ACGGGAGGCAGCAGCUAAGAAUAUUCCGCAAUGGACGAAAGUCUGACGGAGCGACGCCGCGUGGAUGAUGAAGGUCGGAGGAUUGUAAAAUCCUUUUAUAACUGAGGAAUAAGCAGUGUGAGAGAAACGCAUUGCGGUGACUGUAGGUUAUGAAUAAGCAACGGCUAAUUACGUGCCAGCAGCCGCGGUAACACGUAAGUUGCGAGCGUUGCCCGGAAUUAUUGGGCGUAAAGGGCAUGUAGGCGGUUUUGCAAGCUUGGUGUGAAAUCUCGGAGCUCAACUCCGAAAUUGCGUUGAGAACUGCAUAACUGGAGUCACUGAGGGGCAAUCAGAGUUCCUGGUGUAGGGGUGAAAUCUGUAGAUAUCAGGAAGAAUACCAAUGGCGAAGGCAGGUUACCAGCAGAUGACUGACGCUGAGGUGCGAAGGUGCGGGGAGCAAACAGGAUUAGAUACCCUGGUA
rnacentral:rRNA from 1 species